rnacentral:rRNA from 1 species
ACGAACGCUGGCGGCAUGCCUAACACAUGCAAGUCGAACGAGACCUUCGGGUCUAGUGGCGCACGGGUGCGUAACGCGUGGGAACCUGCCCUUAGGUUCGGAAUAACUCCCCGAAAGGGGUGCUAAUACCGGAUAAUGUCUUCGGACCAAAGAUUUAUCGCCUUUGGAUGGGCCCGCGUUGGAUUAGCUAGUUGGUAGGGUAAAAGCCUACCAAGGCGACGAUCCAUAGCUGGUCUGAGAGGAUGAUCAGCCACACUGGGACUGAGACACGGCCCAGACUCCUACGGGAGGCAGCAGUGGGGAAUAUUGGACAAUGGGCGAAAGCCCGAUCCAGCAAUGCCGCGUGAGUGAUGAAGGCCUUAGGGUUGUAAAGCUCUUUUACCCGGGAUGAUAAUGACAGGACCGGGAGAAUAAGCUCCGGCUAACUCCGU